rnacentral:rRNA from 1 species
AUUGAACGCUGGCGGCAGGCCUAACACAUGCAAGUCGAACGAGUGGCGGACGGGUGAGUAAUGUCUGGGAAACUGCCCGAUGGAGGGGGAUAACUACUGGAAACGGUAGAUAAUACCGCAUACCAUCGGAUGUGCCCAGAUGGGAUUAGCUUGUAGGUGAGGUAACGGCUCAACUAGGCGACGAUACCUAGCUGGUCGUUGAGGAUGACCAGGCACACGGGAAUUGAGACACGGGCCAGACUCCUACGGGAGGCAGCAGUGGGGAAUAUUGCACAAUGGGCGCAAUCCUGAUGCAGCCAUGCCGCGUUUAUGAAGAAGGCCUUCGGGUUUUAAAGUACUUUCAGCGGGGAGGCGUUACCCGCAGAAGAAUCACCGGCUAACUCCGUGCCAGCAGCCGCGGUAAUUC